rnacentral:lncRNA from 1 species
GCCUCUUUGAAACUAUAAUCACCAAGUUUCCAUAUGAAAUUAAAGUUUUUUGUUUGUUACCAUUGUCACCUGACUUUUUCGAUAUUUAUUUUAACGUCUAAUAUUACACAAUGAGUAAAUUUCAUUUAUUAAUUGGUACCCUUAUCUAAAACAGCUAUGGUUUUUGUCAAUAAAUGGAUUUUCUAUUCCUUAAUUAAUGAGAUGUAAAU